UAAACAUAAGUACUUUUGUUAUAAUAAAUGUUAUCCUACCGAAGAAUGUUGUAGAGCCAGACUCUAAAGCAGAAGAGGGGAGCAGUGAUGAUGACGAGGACUCCGAGGGCUCAGGCGGAGAAGAUGAUGGUUCUGAAGAGGAGGAUGAACCUAAAACCAUAAAGAUAACCGUUUAUGUUCCAUCAGCAACAAAAGCGCCUCAAACUCCAACAAUAUGAUCCAAAACUUUGUUUGUCGGCAAUCUAAGUUACUCUGUGGGAGAAAUUGAUAUAUGCGGGUGAAGUUGUUGAGCUCCGACUUUCCUUGAGAGAUGGUCGAUUUGUAGGUUAUGCGCAACUCAAAAGGCCCUUGAACUCAAAAAUGAAUUAUUGCUCGACCGUGCUGUGAGA